rnacentral:hammerhead_ribozyme from 1 species
AUCCAGCUGACGAAUCCUAAAUAGGACGAAAUGCGCGUCCUGGAU